GGCCAUGUUGGUAGAGUGAUUGGU
rnacentral:siRNA from 1 species